CCUAACACAUGCAAGUCGAACGGUAACAGGAAACAGCUUGCUGUUUCGCUGACGAGUGGCGGACGGGUGAGUAAUGUCUGGGAAACUGCCUGAUGGAGGGGGAUAACUACUGGAAACGGUAGCUAAUACCGCAUAACGUCGCAAGACCAAAGAGGGGGACCCUCGGGCCUCUUGCCAUCGGAUGUGCCCAGAUGGGAUUAGCUUGUUGGUGGGGUAACGGCUCACCAAGGCGACGAUCCCUAGCUGGUCUGAGAGGAUGACCAGCCACACUGGAACUGAGACACGGUCCAGACUCCUACGGGAGGCAGCAGUGGGGAAUAUUGCAC
rnacentral:rRNA from 1 species